rnacentral:lncRNA from 10 species
GCCGAAGGUCCGCGUGUAAAAGUACCCAGUCCCUGGUAACCUGACACUUCCCUUUUAAAAGCCACCUUUUGUCUAUCUCUGGCCUGCCACGAUUCUUCCUGUGCUCCAUAGGAGGACCCAUUGGACCCCCGGGCUGGCUGCAGGGCCCACACCUGGGUUAGACCUCGCACAGGGACGCUGCUGCCACUGUAAUAAAGCGUGCCUACACGCUUCUGAAACUGGUGUAGGAACAACCUCAGUUCUGUGAAAGGCGGACGCAGCAGGACAGAAUCUCCGUGGACAUCUGUCUGGAGGAGCAAUUUUACUGCGACAUUUUAAAGAAACAAAUUUAAUUGAUUUCCAAGGGUGUCCAUCGCGCUUCCUUCACUGCCUUGAUCAUGUCGGGGUCACCACCUGCGGGGGUUUGUCCUGCAGACCCUGACUCAACGACGGAUGAAUAAUGUACACUGACACAGAUCUUAUGCUUGUCAGUCCUGCUGAGCAUCCAGGCCACUUACAGACUCCAAGAAGAGUCCUGUCAGCCACGGCUCUGACUUGUUGGCCCUCCCGGCAUUUAUUUAGCACACAUUUAAUGACAGAAGUCUCAGGCUGGAAACACUCUUUUUGUAGAACAUACAAAUGGACAUUUCUAAGCACAUUGAGGCCUAUAAUGAAAAAUCAAAUAUCCCACAAUGAAAACUAGAAGGAAGCUAUCUGUGAUAAUGCUUUGUGGUGUAUGGAUUCAUCUCACUGACUGAAACCUGAGUUUUGAUUCACCAGGUUGGAAACUCUUUCUGCAGAAUCUGCAAAGAAAUAUUUCUGAGCCCAUUGAGGCCUACAGUGGAAAACUGAAUAUUCUGUGAUAAAACUAGAAACACCCUAUCUGUGAAAAUGCUUUGUGAUGUGUGGAUUUUUCUCAUCGAAUGGAACCUCUGUUUUGACUCACAAGGGUGAAACACUAUUUUAGUAGAAUCUAGGAAGAAACAUAUCUGAGCCCAUUUAUGCCUACAGUGAGAAACUGAAUACCCUGCAAUAAAAAGUAGACAGAAGCUAUUUGUAAAAAUGCUUUGUGAUGUGUGGAUUCAGUGUUAAACUUUUAUUUUGAUUCCACAGUUUUGACACCCUAUUUGUAGAAUAUAUGAAUGAACAUUUCUCAGCCCAUUGAGGCCUAUCAUGUGAAACCAAAUAUUUUAUAAUAAAAACUGGAAACAAGUGAUCUGUUAAAAUGUUUUUUAGUGUGUGAAUUUGUUUCACAAAGAUAAAUCUUUGCAUGGAUUCAACAGGUUGGAAACA